rnacentral:rRNA from 1 species
UACGUAGGGUGCGAGCGUUAAUCGGAAUUACUGGGCGUAAAGCGUGCGCAGGCGGUCUGUUAAGACCGAUGUGAAAUCCCCGGGCUCAACCUGGGAAUGGCAUUUGUGACUGGAAGGCUAGAGUGUGUCAGAGGGGGGUAGAAUUCCACGUGUAGCAGUGAAAUGCGUAGAGAUGUGGAGGAAUACCGAUGGCGAAGGCAGCCCCCUGGGAUAACACUGACGCUCAUGCACGAAAGCGUGGGGAGCAAACAGG